CUACGGGAGGCAGCAGUGGGGAAUUUUGGACAAUGGGGGCAACCCUGAUCCAGCCAUGCCGCGUGCGGGAAGAAGGCCUUCGGGUUGUAAACCGCUUUUAGCCGGGAAGAAAAGGCGGCUCCUAAUACGGGCUGUUCUUGACGGUACCGGCGGAAUAAGCACCGGCUAACUACGUGCCAGCAGCCGCGGUAAUACGUAGGGUGCGAGCGUUAAUCGGAAUUACUGGGCGUAAAGCGUGCGCAGGCGGUUCGUUAAGUUCGAUGUGAAAGCCCCGGGCUCAACCUGGGAACUGCAUUGGAAACUGGCGAGCUUGAGUGUGGCAGAGGGGGGUGGAAUUCCGCGUGUAGCAGUGAAAUGCGUAGAGAUGCGGAGGAACACCGAUGGCGAAGGCAGCCCCCUGGGCCAACACUGACGCUCAGGCACGAAAGCGUGGGGAGCAAACAGGAUUAGAUACCCGGGUAGUCC
rnacentral:rRNA from 1 species